GGGGUGUAUGCGCACAGCGCGGGCGACGCGGAAGGCCACGCGGAA
ensembl:ncRNA C26E6.13 ncRNA